rnacentral:rRNA from 1 species
GACGGAGGGUGCUAGCGUUGUUCGGAAUUACUGGGCGUAAAGGGCGCGUAGGCGGUUCGUCGCGUCGGCUGUGAAAACCCGGAGCUCAACUCCGGGCCUGCAGUCGAUACGGGCGGACUUGAGUGUUGCAGGGGAGACUGGAAUUCCUGGUGUAGCGGUGAAAUGCGCAGAUAUCAGGAGGAACACCGGUGGCGAAGGCGGGUCUCUGGGCAACUACUGACGCUGAGGAGCGAAAGCGUGGGGAGCGAACAGG